GCUCAUUGUCAUCAGUGAUUUGUGCUGCGUUUGCAUUUGGACACAACAGGAGCUGCAAGGAUACCAGACCACAAAAAGCAACACAUUCUACCGCCGGCGUACCUUUGACCAACUAUUGUCCCUCAUUUUAAGGUCUUGUCCAGGACGGAGCGCAGAGGUGGAGAAAGGCCUGACGGGCAGCAACGGCGUCAAAGUGCUCGGAUCAGGGCUACUUGGAUUUUCAUCAGGAACCUGUUUGAAGGACUGAGCUCCAAGAUCUGAGGAGAAGCAAGCAGUGCUGCUCAUCAGGAGUGCUGCAGAUAUGCCAAAUCAGCCGCUGCUUCCAGCCCCAACCAUCAGUCUCAAAGCGGCAGUCACAGGUGAGAGCUCUCUGUACGUGUGACUCUAGAAAAUCCUGCCUGUUGUGCUGUGAUAACACAUGAUAUUUUCUUGAAAGAGGAUGCAGUUGUCAAAUCCAUGAGCCAUGGAAUCCCUUCUUGGCACCUUUAGAAAGGAACCGAGCUUUAACUGGGCAUCACUGAAACCUGCUUCCUUGGACUUGGAUCAUACACUGUAAUGCUGUAAUCUUCUCAACAAACUGUGAAGAAACACUGCAUAAAGGUCAUGAAAAGCCUUCAAGCGUGUCCUGGUAUGUUGGUGAGACAUGCAUCUAUACUGUUAGAGUAAAAACACCUGGAAAUACACUUUCAAAGCUGCGUAUGUGUAUUUCUUCAUAUGUAAUGUGCUGUGACUUUUGGUGCCACUGACUGCACAGACGUGUCUGUAGUUUGAGAUAUUUCCCCCGUGAGCUCAGGGUCACAGGCUCCUCGCCAAGGAAAUUUGUUCGGAAAAGGCUGGCAUCUUCUCAUAUGUUCUCGCUUUUAUCAGAUGACCUUAAAGUCAUAAAAUUAGAAAACUGUCAAGAAUAGAAAUUUUAAUUUUAAGUCUCAUAGCUGGUCGCAAAAUUGCAAUAUAUUAUGCAAUAAUGACGUCAAGACAUAGAUUAAUUAUGCAUUCAGUCAAAUUACAGGCAAUUUGUGUUAAAUACAUUCUUUCGCCUAUUUUGAAACUGUUGUGCAUUCAGUACAAAUCAAUAUCACUGCAGUAAUUAGUUUUGUAGGCAGAAGAAAAUAUAAUCAUACACUCGCAUUAAGGUUUAAAAUGUUUCCAAUCUGUACUUGUCUGUGCAUUUAUAUUAUAGCGAUCAAUACAGCACCAGUGAGAAUGUAACCCAGAACAUUUAAUGGCUGUAGCAUUAAAGUACUGAACCACAGUCUGAUUUUAAGGUACCUGCUUAACUUAUAUAUAUAUAUACACCAAACAUGCUUUCUGCCAUUUCCACUUUACUUUCCAACUGCAGGCCAAUGGCUGAAUAUUAAUUCUUACACCUCCCUUUAGAAUUCCUACAGGCUCAUUAUUAUAGUCUAUAAAACAGACUAGAUGAUGAAAUGUCCCGUUAACCCUUUCACAUCUCCUGCAGUUCUACCAGCCUACUAGUGGUUGAUCUUGACGUUACACUCUUACAAUUAAGAAUCUUCUCCAGGUCAUCGCGCUGAUGGUUCUACCGCCCAGACACUGUAAUCGUGGAGGAGCUAUGAGGGAAACAACAGGGUUUCAGUGUUGGAGCUGUUAGGGCAGUCACUAUAAGGAAUGUGAGGCGUUUGCACAAUAAGAUGGACAAGCUUGGAGCGCUGAUUGAGCCCCAGAGGGAGCAACAUGAGUGGAGUUUGAUGUGCUUCGUGGAGCACUUCGGCGCUGCAGUAAGAUGGUGUCACACUCACACUUUCUGGACGAGUGUGAUUGUGGCAGACCGGGGCACUAACCUGAACAUGAAGAACAAAUGGAGCCAUUACACUAGGUGUGUUGUGUAAUUCCUGACAUGUUACCAGGGAAGGAUAUUUCUGUGGCCUGAAUAUUGAACUGCUAGCUACUGAAACGAUCCACGUUACUGCAGAGGGAAUUCAUCGUUGCUGUUGCAACUUGAUUCCAGUUUGAAUCAACACUUUGGAUUCCCCCAUCAGCUGAUGCAGAACUCAUCCAAAUGACUACCUGUGGUGAAUGCAUGGAUGCGGAUAAUGAGUGGAGUCAGACUGUCCUCUGCACCAUGUACUGGAUGUGCAUACAUAAAAAUCUCCCUAUCGUUUCAUUUUAGAUUUGAUUUAAUUGAGGUCUUCAUUUUUUUUGUAUUUUCUGUUAAUUUGCUACUGUAACUCUUGAGAUAAAUGAAGUAUUUAUUUUAAAAACAUGCAAGGAUACAGUUUCACAAUCAAGCCAGAAUCAGACUUAUUUUAUUUGAUCUUAGGUUUAACUAUUAGCUGGAGUAGACGGCAGAAUUCAGCCAACUGUAUUAUGUUUCCUUUCCCCUCUCGAUUUAAGUGCAUAAUCCUGGCUACUGUCAUCACUGUAAGGAAAACAACCCUGAAUGCUGUAGGUCUGCCGUUUACCUCAGCUGGUGUCCACGGCUAUUUACUCGAGAGGAGUCCGAUACAACUCGAUGUGUCACAUGUUGAGUGGAAAAAUGAUGUGGAUCCAAAAUGCAGAAUUAUUUAACAGAAGGCAAAGCGUUAGUUAGGUUUGGCUGAAGUUUAAAAAAGCAGCAGAAAGCAAAGAGCACAGAUUUAAACAGAAGAGAUACUGAGGACAACAGGAACACAGUAAAGGACAGCAGAUGUCACGACUGCAGGCACAACUCCAGGGCUGAAUACUGAAAACACACAAGCUGAUUAGGGGAAUAGAGAACAGGUGGGUACACAAACAGGUGCAACAAAUCAAGGAAAAAAAGAUAAGUAAAACUAAACAAGAGAAAAAAGCCUACCAAAAUAAAACAGGAAGUAACAGAAGAUGGAACAUUUACUCUUGGCAAUAAAAUACAGGAAACACAGGCACGCUAACUGAAACUAUGAGCAGAACCCAAAUAACCACAGCAAAAAAGGCCUGAGAAUGUAAAUAUAAAGAAACCAACAAGGAAAUACCUGUAAAAGGUACAAAACUAGGUCAUUACAACCAGCUGAGGGUAACUAAGUGCUGCUGUUAGCUAGGGCUGUGCGAUAUGACCAAAAUCUCAUAUCCCGAUAUUAAGACAUCUAUCGUCCGAUAACGAUA